ensembl:lncRNA
AAAAUCCUGAUCUUCUUACUCUGAUUUGCCCACCUGCCCGGCCAUGGCCUGCCCAGAUGGGUCACUUUCCUUCUUUGGAAUCUCUGCAGAGGCAUGGGAGGAGGGUCAGGUGUUGAAAUCACCCCAGAAGGAAUUGAUACUUCGAUGUUUCUGGAGGUCAGUAGCACUCAAUACAGCAAAGGAAGCCAGAACCAUAGUGGGUCAGACAGAGGAAGUGCUGUACUAACGUGUUUACAUAAGCCAAGAUACCCUGGGUGAUCCACGUAAAGGGAAAGAAACUUGUCGGGGGUAAGCAAACAACCUCGAGGUCACUAGGACCAUGCUUGGGCCCCAACAAAAGCAGAAUUCUAAAGGUUCUCCUAGGCCUGCAAAAUCAGUCUGUUGCUUAAGUGUGAGUGAACAGGAUUUUUCCUAAAAUUGUUCUCACCUUACUCUACUCAGGUUUUUUGUAGGGGCUGUGUCCUACAGAAAUGCCUUGGGUAGGCAUUCAAGUUUCUCACCUUUUCACAUUGAACAAGGAGGAAGGAAUAUAUAUAGGAAGAACUUUGUUUUAUGGAGGAGUUUAUACCAAGAACAAUACUGGGCACAAAAGAUCAUGUGUUUUUACUGCCAGUAUUGAGAAAUUCAUGGAAGAUAUGUCAGCAGGAAGUAAAAAUUCACGGAGAAGGGUGUGUGUGUUUGCUGCUUCCACACAUUAAUGGCAUGAUUUUUUUAUGCAAAAAGAAAAAAAAAGAAAAAGAAAACCACCCACAUUUUAAUUUAGCAUGAGCCAAUUUACAGAGCAUGGAAAUUCACUUUCAUUCCCAGGAUUGGCGCGUGUGCAAUUAGCAAUGCAGUGUAUAUACAAGAAGCCAUGCUGUUAACAGUUUAUCUCAAGUAAUUUGGUGUCAUUUACAAAAGGAAGAAAUUCCUGCCUCCAGAAGGGACAGAAGGAGAUGGAAUGAUCAAAUCACGGAGAAACACUAAAAUUACUAAAUCCACAACAGCUCGCCUUAUUUUUCUUGGACCCAAACUGUCAGGGUAUAAACACUAUUUGUUUCUUUUUUAAAACAUCUAUAGUUUUGCUGUAAAUAAUAACACUGUAUAAAUUCUAACAGAAAAAUAGAAUAAAUGUUGAUAAGGCACUGCCUCUUAGAACACAAACAGAAUAUUGCAAAUGCAUUUAACAUAAUAGGAGUCUCAAGUGACUUCAACCCUAGAAGAGGAAGGAGGGAUUCUGGGGGGGGGGUCUUCACUGAUCUUGUAUAUUAGCAAUUAAAAUGUUUGUAUAUGCAAAACUGCUAGCUUGAUUUUAAAAAAAAAAAAAUCUUUAAAAUCUGCUGCAAAUUUAAAUAAUUCCCAAAAUGAGGAAUUCUGUAGUUCUGUGAAAAAAACUUUUCUUCAGAAUACUAAUAUUUUGAUGCAUGUGUAUCCUUAUUUUGAUUAAAUCUUUUCCAAUUUUGCAAACACUACAGUAUAUUGCAACACAGAAGAUUUUAUCUGUAAACACAAAGCCCUUCAUCUAAUAUUUGUUGCUAUUGCCAAUUUUUCAAUGAAAUGACCUAAAAAUGAAAAAAAUUAACCUAUACAGUAGUUGCUUUAGGGGGCGGGGGGGUGCUAUCUGUUAGUGCUUAAAAGGGGGUAAUGCUUGCGCUUUAGAGGUGGAUGGUGCUCAUAAGAGGCCCCCAUUUGGGGCAUUUAAAAUGGACUGAACCGAAAUCCUUAGCUAGUAGAAUGGCAGCACGCUGUAAAAUUAUUACCGUAUCGUGUACUGGCUAUAAGAUGUAGACACCUUUCAGUAAGCCAAUCAUUUGUAACCAUUCUAGCAGUGUCAUAUUAGGUUAAUAAGGCUUCUGUGUUUUAAAGGGCAUUUUUAUUUGGGUUUUGGUGAAAUUCUUUAAUUUGUUGAUUAUAUUCAUAUAAAAUCAGCAUUCAUUGACACAUAGCUCUAAUGACAUAUGUAUGAAAAACCAUACACUGGAUGACCUAGUCGAUUAUUUAAGCAUAAAAUAAAUUGUGUUAAACUCUUCACCUAUAUGUGCUGUACAGUGUCUUUGUG